GUCUAUAGCCGUACCACCCUGAACACGCCCAAUCUUGUCUGAUCUCAGAAGCUAAGCAGGGUCAGGCCUGGUUAGUACUUGGAUGGGAGACCCUUUCCUCCUAAGUGACCCCAGCAACCCCAGGCCUGCUGUAAAGG
rnacentral:rRNA from 1 species